UAGUAGAGACAGGGUUUCUCCAGGCCGGUCAGGCUGGUCUCAAAUUCCUGACUUCAGGUGAUCCGCCUGACUCGACCUCCCAGGGUUCUGCGAUAACAGGUGUGAGCCACUGCACCUGGCCCAGUUUACUUAACUCGGGGUAAUGAUUGCUCUGGACCUUAUAUGACAAGGGUUAUCUUCAUUUUCUGCCAGUAUCACCCCUCUGCCCCCACACCCCUCAACAAAGCAAAAGGCUUUAACUCACCCACAUGAAAAGCUAAAGCUGACCUGGAAGUUAUGAUUAUGUAUUUAUUUAGUCCAAAAGAAGAAACAGAAGUAAGAGCCUUUUAUAUAACUUGAAGAGUGUAAAGGAGCCAAUAAUAAAAACCAUUGCCCUGAACUUUUCCAAAGCACCAUAAAUCUCUCUGUUAUGAUUCCCCAGUUGUUGCCAAGGUAUCGUUUGUCUUGUUGUUUUUGUCUUCAAAUAGACUAAAACAAACGUUAACGAACUUCCUUCUGUUAGUUUGUGUAUCUGUGAUCAACGGCUAUAAAAAUGCUACUCUUUCAAGUUACUCCCAUCAUCUAAAAUAUACCUGAUACUUAUUUUGUGGUUUCUCAGUAGUAUUCUGAUUUUAAUUUGAUUGGUUUUUAUGUUUGUCUCUUUUCCCAUUCAAAGCUGUUUUUUCCUCCCUUCCCUCCCUUUUGUGUUUCUCCCUGUCUCUGCUGAUAUUUUUUGCAUGUUUAGAUCAUCUCUCUACUGACCUUUCAGUGGCUUAGCAUUUUGUUGCAAUGCACAACUGAAGUUGGGAAACAGAGCCAAGUGACAAACUGUGAAGUAACAGCUCAGCCUUCACAAAGCAAAUGUGCUUUGUGCACUUUCUUGCCAGAGCAGAUGUGGCCUUGGUGGACUGUGGGGAGCAUCAUCUCUCAGGUAAAAAUAAAUUACCAAGAUUAGGGCCAAAUGAUGCAAAUCCUUUCAUUUGCAAACAGAUCAUGAACUGGCAGCCAUGUGGAAGGAAGACUAGACUGAGAAUCACUUAGGAUCCUGCCCUCGGUUUAGUCCAGAAUACUCUGCCAAUCAGCUUUUUGGCCGCAGAUGGACAUUUAGGUUGGUUUCAUCUCUUGGCUGCUGUGAAUAAAGCUGCAAUGAACACUGGGAUGCAGAUAUGGGGAAAAGGUGAGUAGACAAGCCAGCACAUCUUUCUCACUCUCUACAAGCCAGGACUGGAAGAAACCUGGUUGCUGGCUCAGGAGGAAUGAAACAUGCACCGGGUUAAGACUUUAGCUCUGGAAUCAGAGCUGUCUGAGUUUAGUCCUGCCAUAUGAUUUACUAGCCGUGUGACCUCCGGUGAUGAAUUAAUAUUUCUGACGUCCUUAUCAGAGUGCCUAGUACAUAUUAAGAAUGCAACAGUGGGUAGCAAUAAUCGUCAAUGUUAUAUUCUCCACAAAAAUUAACUUUUAUCAUUAUCCUUCCUUAAUAUUGUUGUUAAACUGUGACUAACGCAUCCCGGGGGUGGGGGGUUGUACACUGUGUGCAGGAAAAGUAACCAGAAAGAUCAACCCUAUGAGAUCAUCAGGAAAGACCUAAUGCUUCUCACUGGACAGACAAGAAAACCCACACUCAGCAGGGUUAGGAGACCUGCUCCAAGUCACGUAGCUAGUAAGGGCAGAGCUGAGUCAAACCAGAACUUCUGAUUCCAAAGCCAGUUCUCUUUCCACUACACUGCAUGGCCUCUGGGUGUUAGCAUUUCCAGGUCCCACCUACUUCCAAAUAUCUAAGGUCAAACAGGACUUUGGAUUCCAAAUAUGCACACUAGGACUGCCUGUUCCCUUCUCUCCAUUCACAGGUAUGUGGCACUGUGGGCCCAUAGGGCAUUCUGCCCAGGCUGCAGAGCUCUUGAAUGUGCUUCCCUUCCCCAAGCUGUCUUCUCUGUCAAGGGCACAGACUGGUUCCCAUAGAGACCGAAGUACCCUUUCACAGAGUUGCUUCUGCGUCUCUCCCUGGGACUGGGCUGGGAUUGCUAUCUACCUCUUGCAUUUCAGAAGUCCAGAGAACCUAAGACUUUUGUGCUUUGUCGACACAUGCCACAAAAACUGAGCACACUUACCAACUGAACAAACAUCAGAAUGUGCCAAAUCUCUAAAGUCCAAUUCUUAGUGCAAACUGCCAAAGCAGAUAACACUUACAGUACUCAGAAGGUCAUAAAUUGUCCAAGCUCGAUAGGACCUGAGGCCUCUUCUAGUCUGAACUAUUUAUUUUGCAGAGGAGGAAAUAUGGGCAAAGAAAUGGGCAGGAACAAAUGUCCAGGCUUUGGUGAUAGUGAUUGUGGGGUGUCUCCUGGGUCCCAUUCCAUCAUCCUUCUUAUCACAUCCAUAUACAUCUUCCUGGAGACUCAUCAUAAUUGGAUACCCCUUAUAGAGACGAGCUGCCUGAGACAUAGAUACCUGCUCAGGACGCUGGCUAUCACUAUGGGGAGCCGUUUUGACACAGGCCAUUGUUAGUGACUGGGAACACCUCCUAAAAAUGAGAUGGUCUGAAGGGGUCCCAGUACUUGGGGACUGUGUGUAAUAGGAGCCUUAAGAGAGGCUCCUAGACUAUCUCUUGAUUGCCUGUAUGAUAUUUUGUGAGAAUGUAAACCUACCUCACUAUUAAUUUUAGCAAAAUAAAAUUAAAAAGCAAACAACCAAAUGAAAAGAGAUGUCAUAUAGAAUAGAAGUAUGGACAAUUCUAGAGAUGUUUCAAGAAUAGCGUUCAUCACUGGUGCUCCAGUACACAGAGAAAUGUGCUGGAGAGGUUCAUUAGGAUUCUUGAGUCAAGCCAAAGGCUAGAAUCAGGCUUGUGGUUUCAGGCAUCCAAUAGCAGAGGUUAGCUCUAGAGUGGGGUUGGAAAUAAAUAUUACCCCAGGUACCUACCCUACCCUUAGCUUAGUGCCUCCCAGUAGGUGGAAGGGAAAUCUUAAGGGACCAAGAUGGAUUGAUCAAUUCCAGGAAGCUUUGAUGUUUUCAAAAUCACAUAGGAUAUUGAAGUCUUAGAACCUCCCAGGGGGUUCCUGAACCAGAAUUUGCUUCAGUCAGACAGACAGGGAACACAACUAGUGUCCUCUGUUCUUCACAGUUUCUCAUCUUCUGAACCUCCACUUGCAGUCCUAAAUCAGAGAUAGGCAACCCCCUGCAGUAUGGUGAUGCCACAUGCCAGAGGGCUAAAGGAGGUCUCUCUAUUGCACAGGACCAUUCACAGGCAAUGGAGUGAAUCUGAAGGGGAUCUGAAGGGGAAAAUUGCCUUUUGAGCAUACUAAAUUCCAUCCCAUUUAAGAAAGGAGACAGUGUUUCUUUAUUCUUAAGCUUCCAUUAUCCUCCUUGGUACCCAGUGCAUGGAAGAGACUGAAUAAACAUCUGACGGAUGACUAGGUAAAUGAAUGAAUGAAAGAAUAAAGUGAGUAUUUGAGUUAGUUAGAAAAAGAGUGAACUAUAUAGGCUAGAGAAUGAACUGCCAUAAAGAACCCACAAGGGAAUUGCAAAAUCUCGAUAAUACACACAUAAAUGUUCAUGAAUUCUAUGAUAGAGAAAGAGGUUCAUCUGUUUAUAUAAUUCCUAUCAAUACUGUAUUUCCUCUUAAUGUUUCUUGAACUCUUUAAAACAAGAAACUUUUAACUAUUUGGUUCUCUGAACAUUUAAAAUAACUUUUUGGUGUUAUUUCUUUCAUUUUUUCUAGCUAGUGAAGUUUGUAUUCCAACGAACUGUUUUUCACUUAGCCUUGCUCAGUGUCUUUGUCUGUAGUCACCACUUGGCCUUUUCACCACUAUGUGUAUUAACACCCUGGUAGGAAAGAGAUAAAUGGAAGCAAAAUAGCAAAGUGGUGAAGAGGAGGGUUCUAGAGGCAGACAACCCUGCAGUCCUGAGACCUGAGUCCACUGUUUAACAGAGUGACUUUGCUUAGCCUGUAGAUUAUAAUGGAACUUGCCUGUAAGUAUGAUUAUGAGUAGUCCUGGAAGGAUAAUACAUUGCAUUGUGUUAAUCACACCGUGAAUGAUCAAUGAAUUUUAGUUACUGGUAUCAUUAUAUUGUAUUGCUAUACUACUGUAUUACAUUAAAUCAUAUUGUAUUAUAUCAAUCAUAUCAUCUAUUAUAUAUCAGUAGCAUAUUGAUUGUGGUCUUGUAAAACCAGUGUCUAUGGAUGUGUUGAACAAAGCCACAUCCUCUAUAGAGUCCUCCUCCAGUCACCUCCUUAACUUUCUUCCCCAGAUUGAGACCACCCCUUAUUUCUCUCUUAUGUAAAUUCUGAAAGUAGUACCCAGUGGUCUUCAGGGAGAGAAAUCUUGUUUUUUCUCUGAAACAACAUUCAGCUACACCCGUGGCUGGCUUUCCCUACAUGUGUCCCCCUCCCUCUCAUUCAGGAGAGGCCAUUUGAGUUCAGAGUCCUGAUGUGAGGCUUGCGUUUGAGGAAGGAAAACCACUUCAAAUCUCAUUUGUUGACCUGACUCUCACCCUUCCCCUCCAGCAUUCCAAACUCCCACUCACAUCAACAAGCUAGAAUUUUAAACUUGGUUGGAACUGUAAAAGCUUGAGGUUAUUAGAGCUCAAGGAUAGGGCAGGAGCUGAGUCUGACAGCUUGUUUUACUCUCCGCACUGAGGCAAUCAAGGCCAAGGCAGUGUCAGGGAAAGGCCAGGUUUUCUUGUAGCCUUGGGCCGUUGGCCGUAUGCUAGGGAAGGGAGGUGGAGCCGAAGAUUUGGCAUCAAAUCAGAAAAAAUAAGGUACGUUGAUUCACUCAACUCUGUGCUUAACCCUGUGGCAAACACAUUGGCUAACUUCUCUGCUCUUCUUUUCAUCUUCUUUAGGUUAUCCAGGUUUUUAGGUGGUAGCAACAUGUUCAAGGAAGAUGCAACCCCUUCCUCCAGCCUGAGAGGAUAAAGCAUCUUUGGCUUAUUGCCAACCAUGGCAAUCCCAUUCCCCUUUUCUCAUGAUUGAUUUGGGAAUGGGCAAGUGACCCAGCCCUGACCAAUGAGACCAAAGAAACAGUCUAUUGGUCAGCUUAUCUCAGAAGAUUUUUGUUUCCUGCUAUAAACAGUAAGUUUCUUCCUGCCUGACUUAAAUGCAGUUGUGUGCAAACAUGUUACUUGGAGCUACAGCAACGAUUCUGUGACCAUGAGGCAAUAAGCCAAGAACAAAGGAUAGAAUAGUGAAAAGACAGAGUAUUGAAUUUUUUUAUGAUAUCAUUGAACUGCUGGACCAAUGUGGAGCCAUCUACUUUUAGUCUUUCAUGAUUUGUGAGAUGAUUAAAAAUUUCUUUCGUUUUAGCCAUUAUUUCUUUUCUGUUACUCAAAACUGAAGACAUCCUACAUAAUACAAACACUAUCCAACCUGGGUUGUAAUGUAUCUAUUUUCAGAUCUGUGUGUUCUAUCUUAUUGAUUUUUGUAUUCUUAGCACUGACUAUAAGCCUGCUACUUAGUAAGACUUCAAUAAAUGACUGUUUAAAAA